CUUGGAGACCAAGUUGGCUACAACUUGCUUGAGAAGCAUUGUACAAAGAGUUGUACACUCAUCGUUUAUAUGUCACCAAUAACUGUUAGGUGAGGUAACAUGUAAAUUGGUGGAACCGUAGCACCCCACUUGAAAUCUAGAGUCGCAGGUUUCCGUUUCUCUUCCGGAGGAGUGUAAGAGAUUCAAGAAAAUAGUGGGAGGUGUUUGUUUUAAAUGUCCCUAAUAAAACAAAUAGAGUUCAAGUACAAAAUUCUAACUAGAAUCUUUACUCUCUGAGGAUUAUAAAGUCAGCUUCCAAACUCUUAACUCAUAUCCUAGAGAACAACUGUUUGAUCAAACUCAAUUAUAAAGACUGGCUCAGCAAUUUCAAAAUAGUUUUGAAUUGUGAGAAAUUAGGGUAUAUGCUAGACCAUGACAUCUCUGUGUUACCAGUCCAUCCGAUCACUGAUCAGCGUAAGACGCAUGACAAGUGGACGAACGAUGACAAUAAAUUUAGGUGCUACAUAAUGGUAUGAGAACAUGAAGACUGCCAGGGACAUAUUGAAUCAUCUGCAUGAGUUGUAGGGUGAACAGAGUCGCGCAGCAUGGUUUGAA
rnacentral:lncRNA from 1 species